GCUCACGGCCAUAUGACGUUGAAUGCACCUGUUCUUGUCCGAUCACCGAAGUUGAACGAUAUCGAGCCUAGUUAGUACUUAGAUGAGUAACCUCUUGGGAAACCUGAGUGGUGUAAACA
rnacentral:rRNA from 1 species